GAUGAACGCUGGCGGCGUGCCUAAUACAUGCCAGUCGAGCGAACAGACGAGGAGCUUGCUCCUCUGACGUUAGCGGCGGACGGGUGAGUAACACGUGGAUAACCUACCUAUAAGACUGGGAUAACUUCGGGAAACCGGAGCUAAUACCGGAUAAUAUAUUGAACCGCAUGGUUCAAUAGUGAAAGACGGUUUUGCUGUCACUUAUAGAUGGAUCCGCGCCGCAUUAGCUAGUUGGUAGGGUAACGGCUUACCAAGGCGACGAUGCGUAGCCGACCUGAGAGGGGGAUCGGCCACACUGGAACUGGGACACGGUCCAGACUCCUACGGGAGGCAGCAGUAGGGAAUCUUCCGCAAUGGGCGAAAGCCUGACGGAGCAACGCCGCGUGAGUGAUGAAGGUCUUCGGAUCGUAAAACUCUGUUAUUAGGGAAGAACAAAUGUGUAAGUAACUAUGCACGUCUUGACGGUACCUAAUCAGAAAGCCACGGCUAACUACGUG
rnacentral:rRNA from 1 species